rnacentral:rRNA from 1 species
UACGUAGGGGGCAAACGUUGUUCGGAUUUACUGGGCGUAAAGGGUGCUCAGGCGGUUUUGUAAGUUAGAAGUGAAAUCCUAGAGCUCAACUCUGGAACUGCUUUUGAUACUGCAAAGCUUGAAUGUGGAAGAGGAGGAUGGAAUUUCAGGUGUAGCAGUGAAAUGCGUAGAUAUCAGAAAGAACACCAGUGGCGAAGGCGGUCCUCUGGUCCACUAUUGACGCUAAAGCACGAAAGCGUGGGGAGCAAACAGG